UCUGCCGGAUCAUUACU
rnacentral:rRNA from 1 species